CUUCUGUUCCUCCCUACAUAGAGUCCACUGAAUUAAUUGAAUUUUUUUAUGCAGAAUCUUUAAGCCAAUGCUUGCAGUUAAGCCGGAUGCCAGCUACUGUUGCUUCUGUUUGUUCACUCACACCAGACGCUCUCCUCCUUUAUCUUUGAUUUGAAUUGUUUCCUGUGAAAGCAGGUCAUCUCACGAGAAAUCACAAGUUGGAGUCAUGGUACUGUUAUUUUCAACUACUUCCUCACUUGCUGAAACACAUGCAGGAACUUCACAAAUAGAAUUUCCUGAGGCUAAGCUGACAGGUUCACUGAAGGCAGCUGAUGAGGUUUGUACAUGUUGAACCGAAAUGUCUGCUUCCUGCUAAAUCCAUUAGAAACUGAUACAAGGGUGAGAAGAAAGGAUGUAAUGGAACAGGUAAGGCAUUAGAAUUUAAAAGAAUGUAGAACAGCAGACCAGACUGUGGCAAACAUGGGUGAAGAGAAUUCUCAUCCUCGGAAUGGAAAAACUAAGGCACAGAGAGUUAAAUCGGUUACACAUUCUACUAUUCAGUAAGGCAGACCCCUC
rnacentral:lncRNA from 12 species